GUGUAAAGAAUUUGACAAUAGUAUUAUGAAACUUAGGGAUAAUAAUUUAGUUUAUCGGGCGACUGUUUAACAAAUACACAGGUCUUAGUUACGACGAUCUUCACCUUAGGGCUGAUAUGUGAUCAGUGCCUUAGUUAGGUAAACAUCGGCGGUAACUAUAACCGUCCAAAGGUAGCGAAAUUCCUUGUCAUUUAAGUAAUGACCUGCAUGAAGCAUGGAACGAUUAGAUAAGUGUCUUCCACAAGUUUAAUGACGAAAUGGUAGUUAGCGUGAAGAUACGAAAUUAUGUUUUAGGACAAGAAGACCCUCAGAUGCUUUAUACUCAUACUAGUUUAUAUAGCAGUCGUCUAUCUUCUGGGCUGUGUUUAUCGCCCCUCAGAAAUGGAUGCACUGUUCUGGUUUUAACGUUGCUAGCUCAAUGGUUUUUAUUAAAAGUACAGAUGUUCCUAGACGGUUUGUUUGGGGCGAACACCUUCUUUACUCAACGAGAGGUUAACAAAGAAUGGCAAAGCUGUCUAGAACGCGUACUUUAAGUAGAAAGGCAGAACCACUCCUGAUAAUUAGAAGUCAUUCAAGUUAGGCAUAGAAGUUGUCUUAUUGAUCUUGAAAUGGACUUACAUGAUAAAAGUAACUCAAGGGAUAACAGGCUUAAUCGGAACAAGAGCUCAAAUCGACUUCCGGUCUUGGCACCUCGAUGUCGGCUUCCCUUUUCCAAGAGAUGCACAAGGCUCUAGGGUGGAGGUGCUCACUCCAAUUCAAGGGACACGAGCUGGGUUCAGAACGAUGUAAAUCAGUUUGGUCUAUAUCCGAAACAUUACAACUGGGAUUAAGGUGCUUAGUACGCAAGGACCGGCA
rnacentral:rRNA from 1 species